AAACAGACCUCACGGACAAACUUCUAGCCUUUGAAGUGGAGCUUGAUGUUCCGAACAAAGACACUUUGAGCCCCGCCAGGUAACUGAGUCACCUGCGCCUCCGCUCUGCGUGCAGGAGACGGUCCUGGAACUUCAGCCUUGUGGUUGAACAACAGGUUGCUCUCAGUGGAUCACCGGCACAGACUAUUCUAUAAAGCAUUGUGCGCCCUGGCGGAUAUAACCUCUAGCCUCCUGAAAUCACAGGCAAGAAAAAUAUGCUCCUGAUUAGUGAAUACCAGCGAAAGACCACAAAAACCAUGGUCACCAUCCCACGCAUUCGCCCAGAUUUGCACUCCCGCUGUGAUGGAGGGGGGGCUACCGGUCGAAUGAAGAUGACAGAUGCUUUCGCCAUCAGUGGAGGCAGCAUCAGAAGAGAUGCAGCACUUCAAAUGAAGCAUACAGCCAUAAAUUUUUCAUCUCCAACCAGCUUUGAGGUGGGAGAAGGGGGCAGGUCAGCCAGACUGCAGCUGAAGGCUUCUAAAAACAGAGACAAAAGCUGACUCUAUCCUGAACAGGAGAAGGAGGAAGCAGGAGUUGAUGAAACGUGUAGCCCCUGCCUUGCUGCCUCCUCCCCACUGCGGUGAAGCAAUCUCAUUGGAGGACUGUAAAGUCACGGGUUGACAAUCAGGACUAUAGCAUGAAGGAUUUCUAACUGUUGCCAAGGUACUUUGAAUGGUGAUUUGACCAUUACAUGAGUUCAUUUGCUAUCUAUCUGUAACCACUGACUGCUCCGAAAUGUUGUGAAGCUUGGUCCAAGUGUGAAAUCUCAGGAUUACUGAGUUUCUCAUCGGUGGAGCCAGACAUCCUUCACCGUCACAUGCUGUCUGGGGUGUCGACAGCUUCAGGGAACGUUUGUUAUUGAGAUUUGACCCUCAUCGUGUCAGAUUCCUUUAUGUUCUGUUUCUUUUUAAACACUCUGCCAAGAGAAAUUUGGCAAAGAUACAUGCUGUCUUCAGGCGUGCCUCUCAUAAAGAGAGCUAAAAAAACAAACUAGGGUUCACUCUCAGUUCAGAGUUCAUGUGGAGAGACACUGAUUCACAACUGCAGACUGGGGAUGACUAGACUUAUAGUUAAGUGGGAAUUUUUUUUUAUUACAAACAAGCCUGAAUUAUCCAAGUUGUGUUUAUCAAACCUUUAAAAGCAGAUAUUUACUGCACCUUGCAAAACUAUGUCUUGAACUUUUGACAUUUUGUUGCAUUACGACAACAAAAAUGUAUAUGAUCGACCAACACAAAGUAGUGCAAAGAAAAAUUAUCACCCUGGGCACAAUUUUCGUUUUGUGAAACACAACCGUGGCUCCAUCAUGGUGUACAUAUGCUUUUUCAACACUUUAUUUAUAACAACAGUUAUAAAUAAAAUGAAAAAGAUAUUAUAUAAUUUUAGUCUAAUUGCCUGUAACAAGUUCAGGAUUCAAGUCACUCUCCCGAAAUUCUUGUAUUUAGCAAAGUU